rnacentral:tRNA from 1 species
UCGGCCUGCAACGCGGCGUUGCGACGCUCGCUCUCUUCGCGCGAGAGCGCGACGGAGGUGCGGACACCUUUCGAGACGAAC